rnacentral:rRNA from 1 species
UGGGGAAUAUUGCACAAUGGGCGGAAGCCUGAUGCAGCGACGCCGCGUGGGGGAUGAAGGCCUUCGGGUUGUAAACUCCUUUCGACAGGGACGAAGCUUUUGUGACGGUACCUGUAUAAGAAGCACCGGCUAACUACGUGCCAGCAGCCGCGGUAAUACGUAGGGUGCGAGCGUUGUCCGGAAUUACUGGUCGUAAAGAGCUCGUAGGUGGUUUGUCGCGUCGUCUGUGAAAUUCCGGGGCUUAACUCCGGGCGUGCAGGCGAUACGGGCUGACUUGAGUGCUGUAGGGGAGACUGUAAUUCCUGGUGUAGCGGUGAAAUGCGCGGAUAUCAGGAGGAACACCGAUGGCGAAGGAAGGUCACUAGGCAAUAAAUGACGCUGAGGAGCGAAAGCAUGGGUAGCGAACAGG